GUGGAUAACGAGCGCUGGGAAGAGAAGAUGGCUUGUGACCUGAAUGCCGAUCGCACCCGGACAAGGCGGGACAAAUCUGGGUGGCAAGUGUGAAAGAGCAUCAUCACCACCGCUGAGGUGCCCCUUGAGCAAGGUCUCCAACCCUCAAACUACUCCAGUGGAGCGGUUCAAGCAUGUCAAAUCAGGCCGUGGUCGUCUGGGGGAGUUUCCAAGUUGUGAAUCUGUGCAAACCUCCUAUUCCUGAAAUGAAAGUUGCCCUCAGUGAUACUUCGCUGGCUUUGACUUUGACUUCCAACCCCAGCAGAGACCGUCAAAGUGCCGCUGUUGUUACUCCCCACAUGGAGCGGUCUGUAUUUCCCGAGGCCAGAUCGGAAGCUCUGGCUUGCUAACUGAGAGGAAUCAACACUUCAAUCAACACGGUGGCUGCAAAUGAGAAAUAACUGGAAGUGUUUCCAUCUGAUCUGUGUGGAGCAGAGGGGCAGCAGACAGCCGGCAUGCUACGUCGCUGGCCUGGAUGCACUAACAAGUUGAUUAAUGGCUGCGGUGAGGGGGUCCACAUUUUUCUCUGCCCGGCCUUCUUCUCCAUCCUCCAUCUGCCAGUGACGAUCGACUCCCUGUGAAGGAAAGUUAUCUAACAGUGGCAAACAAGGCAGCAUGCUGCUGCAUUCAGUGCCAAAACAAAAGGGCACUAACAGAUCUUUACAGGGUCGAGACGGUACCGAUGUACUUUUUUGCUCAAGGACCUGUGACAAGAAAGGGACACAUUGUGAGCUACAUCCCGAAUCAACCCUCUGCUCCUGUUCAGUGGUACACAAACAAGUAUUGUUACUUUUCUUUUCACAUUGUUGGGGAUUGAGGAGAUCUCUGAGUCACAGCACAGAUAAUCACAAGAGAGGCUGGAGUCCUUGAUUCUUAUCCUUCCUGCAGAGUCCUGAUUUUACCUUUGGAAACUAUGGAGGCCCUGAGAGCUCACAG